AUUUAAAAAAAGAAAGCAUACUGCGUUAAAUUCCAGUGUGAUGGGUGAAAAGUGUCACUAAAAAUAUAAAUGUUGUACAUACAAUAAUUUUCUAUUUCUGUAGGUAUUUUUGUAAUUGUAACUUUAGGGAUGACUACAUUCAUGUGAGUUGUAUAGAUGUAAUUCUAAUUGAAAACAAGUCUAAGUGUGUGUUAGUAAAUUCACUCUGGCUAUCUUAUCAGAUUUCAGAUGUCCAAUCAUCUACCUCGCAGAAUACUUGAUGCAAUCAAUCACCAAGUUUGCAGACUACACAAAAGUAGUUGGCUUGAUUACCAAACAACGACAAGACAGCCUACAGGGAGGAGGUGAGGGCACUCUGAGUGUGGUUGCAGGUAAACAACCUCUCACUCAACAUCAACAAAACAAAGGAGAUGAUCGUGGACUUCAGGAAACAGCAGAGGGAGCAACCCCCUAUCCACAUCGAAGGGACAGCAGUGGAGAAGGUGGAAAGUUCCUCGGCGAACACAUCACAGACAAACUGAAAUGGUCCAACCACAGAGUGUGGUGAAGAAGGAGCAACGGCGCCUCAACCUCAGGAGGCUGAAGAAAUGUGGCUUGUCACCCAAAACCCUGACAAACUUUUACAGAUGCACAAUCAAGAGCAUCCUGUCGGGCUGUAUCACAGCCUGGUACGGCAACUGCACCGCACUCAACCGCAAGGCUCUCCAUGACACCUACAGCACCCGAUGUAACAGGAAUGCCAAAAAGAUCAUCAAGUAGGGUUGCAGAGGAUUGGAAUCUUUCAGGGAAAAUGGGAAGUAAAGCCAGAGAAUGAGGAAUUUUGCUGAAAUUCAUCAAAAAUGUUAGCUUAUAACAGUGAACCUUUUUUUUGUGGGAUACACAUAAGGCAAUUCUAGGUCUUGUGGCAUAUUUUGGAUAAACUAUCCCAAAUUCAAUGGAAUUGAAACCCUCUGCAUGCACAGUGAAUUCUUCCAUCAUGUGCAGUGCACUCUUCCAUCACAUGUCCAGCUGAUUCUCAAGAUCUUGCACACUAAUGAGAUGCUAUUGAGCCCACACUACUACACUGUCUGAGCCAAGGACAACAUGCUUUCUGGAAAUUGCCACGGGCACUAUCUGAUGUGUGGAGACAUUUCGCUGCAGCUAAUGUAGAAGGAAAGGCUGUGUACAUUUGAAAAUACUGUGCCAAAUCAUAUGUGAAGAAUGCAACAAAAAUGCAGAAUCAUCUGGCCAAGUGCAUAAUGUUCCCUCAGCGCUCACAACAAGCAACCUCUGACAAAAGUCCCUCUGCUUCUAUUCGAGGUGUAAAUGAUGAAUCAGACACCUUACCGAUAGCAACAGCUCAUGGUCCUCCUGAAAUCAUACGUUUUUUUGCCUCAAUGGAGGAACGUAGUCAGAGAAAUGCUGAUGAAUGUCUUGCUCGGGCUGUGUAUGCAAAUGGUUCACCUCUGAUGCUCACAGGCAAUGUGCAUUGGAAGAGAUUUCUGAAAGUUCUUCGCCCAGGAUACACCCCUCCAACCAGACAUGCUUUAUCUACUCAUUUGCUGGAUGCAGAGUUCAAGUGAAGUUCAAGCAAAUCAUAGAGAUAGCAGACUAUUGCGAUCAUCUCUGAUGGGUGGUCGAAUGUUUGUGGUCAAGGAAUAAUUAACUACAUCAUCUCCACCACACAACCAGUAUUCUACAAGUGCACAGACACAAGGGACAACAGACACACUGGUCUCUACAUUGCAGAUGAGCUGAAGGCAGUCAUCAAUGACCUUGGACCACAGAAGGUAUUUGCACUGGUGACAGACAAUGCUGAGAACAUGAAGGCUGCUUGGUCUAAAGUGGAGGAGUCCUACCCUCACAUCACACCCAUUGGCUGUGCUGCUCAUGCGUUGAAUCUGCUCUUCAAGGACAUCAUGGCACUGAAAACAAUGGAUACACUCUACAAGAGAGCCAAGGAAAUGGUUAGGUAUGUGAAGGGCCAUCAAGUUAUUGCAGCAAUCUACCUCACCAAGCAAAGUGAGAAGAAUAAGAGCACCAGUUUGAAGCUGCCCAGCAACACCCAUUGGGGUGGUGUUGUUGUCAUGUUUGACAGUCUCCUGGAGGGGAAGGAGUCUCUCCAAGAAAUGGCCAUAUCACAGUCUGCCGAUAUGGACAGCCCCAUGAAGAGGAUCCUCCUGGAUUAUGUAUUUUGGGAGAGAGUGGUAAACAGCCUGAAACUCCUGAAACCUAUAGCAGUAGCCAUUGCACGGAUUGAGGGAGACAAUGCCAUCCUGUCUGUUAUUCAGACUCUGCUUGCAGAUGUAAGAGAAGAAAUCCGUACUGUCCUGCCCACUUCAUUGUUGUUUCAAUCAGAGGAAACUGCAGUUCUGAAAUACAUCAAAAAGUGUGAAGAAUACUGCCUGAAGCCCAUACACACUGCAGCUUACAUGUUGGACCCCAAGUAUGCUGGCAAGAGCAUCCUGUCUGGUGCAGAGAUCAACAAGGCCUAUGGUGUCAUCACUACCGUGUCUUGCCACCUUGGCCUGGAUGAGGGCAAGGUUCUUGGUCCAAGCAAGGCCUUUGGGAUGGAGAUGCAAUAUGGCAGUCGUGCCAACAUAUGUCAUCAACCACCCGGUGGAAGGGACUUUGUGGAUCUGAGGCUCUUUCCCCUGUUGCCUCUAUCAUCCUCCAAAUCCCACCAACAUCAGCCACCUCAGAGCGCAAAUGGUCCUUGUUUGGGAACACACACACACACCAAAGCAUGCAACAGGCUGACCAAUACAAGAAUUGGUGGCCACCCGGACAAAUUUGAGCCUGACAUCAAGCCAACCUCAACAAGGUUGGAAAGUGACCGUGAAGAUGAGGCCUCAGAGUCUGAUGUUCAAGAAGUGGACAUAGAGGUCUAGGGAGAAGACAUGGAAGCCUGAGAGGAACACAACCAAAGUUUUAGUUUCCAGACUAUCAUUUUACAGAUGUAUGUUGAAAAAGUUUUGGGUAGAGGAUCAUUGGGGAUCAUUCAAUAUUCCCUUUUGUUGUUCAGUGAAAU
ensembl:lncRNA